rnacentral:tRNA from 1 species
GGCUCCUUGGUCAAGCGGUUAAGACACCGCCCUUUCACGGCGGUAACACGGGUUCGAGUCCUGUAGGAGUCA